UACGUAGGGGGCAAGCGUUGUCCGGAUUUAUUGGGCGUAAAGAGCGUGUAGGCGGUUAGGUAGGUCCGUUGUGAAAACUCGAGGCUCAACCUCGAGACGCCGAUGGAAACCAUCUAACUAGAGUCCGGAAGAGGAGAGUGGAAUUCCUGGUGUAGCGGUGAAAUGCGCAGAUAUCAGGAGGAACACCAAUGGCGAAGGCAGCUCGCUGGGACGGUACUGACACUGAGACGCGAAAGCGUGGGGAGCAAACAGG
rnacentral:rRNA from 1 species